rnacentral:snoRNA from 1 species
GCCGACAGCGGGGGGACAGUACGUCUCCUCGCACGGGCUCGGUCUACCCGCCUCCGCGAGGUAUCGGGUUCCGUGAGCGGAGAGUGCUCACGCCGAGCCCACAGGGCCGGGAGCAUCCACCCGCGCGAGGGAAUGAACGCGGGCCUCUGUGCCCGGCCCACAGACAUUUUCUG